GUUGAAAUAUUGCUAGUUUCAAACUUUAAUUGAAAGAAGUUCGACCUCAUCAAACUCUAAGCUAGGGAAGAUAUAGUACAAGAUAGAAAAUCCAGUCAGUCUUAAUAUAAAUUAAGAACGCAUUGUGUCAGAGUUUGCUGUUCCUUUCAAAUGGAACAGUUUGCUGUGGAACCUAUGAUCAGAUUUGAUUACCUUGCUUUACAAAGCCAAGAUGGAUUUCUG
rnacentral:misc_RNA from 1 species